GCUGUGAGAGCCGAGGGAUUGAGGGAGGUCAAAAGCAGAUGGAAAAGCACUAUGUAAAUUACACCAGGGUUAGUUAGUAAUGUUGCAGAAAGAAGGUGGAUAGGUACCCUAAAUAUCAGAAGUAUCCGAGGCAGUGGAAGGACUAGCGAUGUAGCUCAAGUGGUAGAACUCUUGUCUAGCAAACGUGAAGCCCCAAGUUCAAUCCCCAGUACUGCCAAAAAUUAAUUAGGUCCAUAAUCUCUUUUUAAAACUAUGACAGGAAAAACUAUGACAGGACCUAGAUGGCUUCAAAUCCUGACCCUGCCAAUAUCUCUCAGAAAUUGGGACAUUGCUUAAUCUUAGUCUGUCUUUCACCAUUAAAUGUAACAUCAUAAUACCUUAUUGAUUUGACAGGAUGAUGUACAUACAUACCCAGAU